UGGGACCUGUCGACCAGCCCCAUGGCUUGGAAGCACAGUGUAAGACUAAAAGGAGUGCUUGUGACAGAGGAACAUCAUUAUGACUUCAGACAGGCUGCAGUGGCCUUUUGAGGCCAAAGGACCAUCUCUGAGGACAGACAAGACCAGGUGUGACUCCAAUCCACAGCAUAUUAUGUUAUAUAGAGCUUACUCUGUAACUGAGCAAGAAACCAAAAAGGAGAUAACGUACUGGAUAUAAUGACCGAGUGUGAUGACUUCGUAGAGCCCCAGAAAGUCAGCCCUAGGAGGGAUCAUCCAGUUUGACCAUCUUGUCAAAUCCUCUCAUUUUACAGUUCUGAUCAUAGAAGCCGUUUCAGUCUUGAACUUGCAGUAGUAAAGAAGCUGUGAAAGGCUCAACUUGCUUGGCUGAGGGGCCUGAGGUGGUAUUCAACACGCAAUGCUCAGCAUCAGACUGUUGCACCAAUCAGGAGAACUGAAGAAUGGAAUGUUUCCCUUUGUGGACAACCCAUUAGGAAGAAGAGUUCAGGCCUUCCUCAAAGAUGGAACUAGAUUCCUUCUUCUUAGGAGAAGCCACUCGGGACACCUUAUCUGAGGAUUCCUUCAAGGCCCCUGGCUUGGGUGAAGCUGCAGAGGGCUUGGACUUCCCAUCACCCUUCUUGACAGGUAUUACAGGAUCACUGGACGCACACAGGGCAAACGUCAGAGAUGUUGGUUGGUAAAUAUUUCCAUACUGGUAAGUGAAGAGCCUCUGUCCUGACCACUCCUACCAUUCCCUCCUCCCUCAACUCCCUGCUCCGCUCCCCCCUGCCCCAAACACCUCCCCCUCAGACCUCGCCACCAUCUGUUCUUGCCCAGCAGGGGAUCUUCAGAACUCUGCUCCACUUCUAAGACUAGUGACCAUCUGGAUGAUCAGUGCCUGUGUGGUUAUGAAGUACUCUGGAUACAACCCCUGGGUACUUGCCAUGCAAAAAUGCCCUUUAAAAAGUAACAAACUAUCACAGGGGAUGGCUCGGUGAGUCAUUUCACCACUGAUAUGAAACGUUUUCUUUUAUUCCACUGGGCUGGGCAAAAAGGGCUGAUGACACAGUAAAUGAAUUUUGAUAUAGUGCACAUGGUGUCAAUUUUUAGAAUUUGGUAGGUAGAGAAGAAAAAAGUUUGGUGGGGUUUUUUUUGCAUCUUGGAGACAAAGUUAUAGACUGCAUAUUACUACAAAAAAUUACUGGUUCUGGCAUCAGUUCACACUAUGUAAAGCAUGAGUAGUUCAUCCAGCAGAUUCUCUGCAAAUACAGACACUCUGAAACCAAGAUGGUCAGAGCAGUUGGAUAAUUAUGUGAGCAAGGAGCCAAAAUUUGUCCCCCAUUUGCUCUUGUUUGAAUCCAGGGUGAGAUCUUCUACUCUAUUACAACUCCUGUUCUUUUCAGGGCAAGCUGGGCAUGAGUGGCUAAAAUCAAAUCUGGCUGAAAAGUUUUCAACACAUUGUUUAGUACUGCAGGAUGCGAAAUGCAGAAGAGUUAAUUGGGACCAAAACAGGGACUGUGACUUAAUGAAAAUGCUGUUUUCUUUCUCACUCCAUAUUAUGGCCCUAUGCCUAGUAGGUAGUGAGGGAGAAUCAUGCCAUAAACUCCAGUCUUCUUCCUUCAGUUAACAGCAAAGCUCGUAAAUCGGCUCAGCGUUUCCAGUGAAAAGAGCUCUGUGUCCUUAAUGGUAAAUGAUGAGGGCAAAGCAAAGAUUUCAUUUGGUCCAGGCAUCCCUGAGCCAGUGGGUCUAAACUCUUCCCUUCUAGUAUUGGAGUGGUUUUCUCUGUCUCAUACAACUUCCUGGAUACCAGCGUUCUGAGGCUACUAGUAUGAAUGUUUAGAAGGGUUAUAAAAUCUGAAUUUUCCAACGUUAGAUUGCAGUAGAAUAGCCAUUUUUGUUUUGUUAGCCUAUUUGUCCUACAUUUUAUGUGAAGGGUCACAAAACAACAAGUCUUUCUUUGACUUUGCUGUUUUCCUCUGACUUGAUGAUCUUCUAUAAAAGGGAUAAGAAUCAACUAUUUUGGAAGCUAAGAAAACUGAUAAACAGCAAAUGGUAGCCAUCCAUGGGGGAGUCUUUGCUCAAAUUAUUUGCCGACCAAAGCAAACAUCAGCACCAACUACGGUUUCCUGUCCAAUAAUUAGCAUAGACCCACAUCACCAUCACUAUAGAACAGUUACAAUUGUCUCAGUCCUAAUUUUCACACAGAGCACAUGCAAACUAUUCAUGUUUUAUAACACAUUUUUGAGGCGAAAUCCAGGAUAACUCAAACUGCUGAGUCUUUAAUAGUGAAAUGCAAAAAUUUAGUUCAUUUUAAUUUUUGAAAUUCUACCCUGAGGGGUGUGGCAGGUAAAGGUAUGAUCCAGCUGUGUGCAGGGGGUAUUCAGUCACUAGCUCUUUUUAUGUGACGUAGGUAAUCACCAACAUCAAGGAGAAGGUAAAAGGACUUGUGGAAUACCUCCUUACUUUCCAUCCUUUCACCUCUACCCAGAGAGUUUCUAUGAAACGAAGGAAAUGACCCCCCCAAAGGAAACAAAGCUGUGCAGAAUUCUGAGGAAGUCAAGGGCCUUGAAAAACAGCAAAGAGGCUGGUGACUGGAAAGCUAUGACGUACAAGAGAGAGCAGAAAACAAAAGUCAGCACUGCCAGACAGGUUUUUUUUUUUUUCACAGAGGGAAAAUCCGGUUCCUUUGGAGAAGCAACAACGCACUGUGCAUGAGACAAGAACACAGUCUCAGGCUGCAGAGAACCCGUCAUGAAAGAGACAGAUGGAAAGGGUCCGGGAGGAGGAGGAAGAACAAGCGCUGCGGCCUUGGAGCAGCACAGCAGAAACAAAGCCCCGAUAUCCCCCCAGAACCGGCUUCCAGACCUGUGCCAGCAGGCACACUGGAGACACAGGGCCUCAAGGGCAAAGACCGGGUCUCACAAGUGCCCGCUCAACCAAGGGGCAGGCGAGAGCAACGAGGAGGAGCCAACAAUGUGAGCAGUGACAAGGGGACCUGUGAGUAGGUCCUAGACUCGGGACCUGAGGCUUCCUCUAAAAGGGUUUGCAAAUCAUCCCCAUGAUAAAUGCUAGCUAGUAGAGCCCGUUAUACUAAAAGCUCCUGAAUAGGCAGAAACACGUCUUCUCUAGCUCUGUUACCGUUGUUUCCCCAGCACAUCAUCAGGCUCAGUCGAUGUUUGUUGAACCUCACUGAACUUGGCCAGUUAAAUACGUGCUGUCCUCCUGAAGUGGACACUUGGGAAGUGACCAGAGCCCACUAAUACUUCUCAAACACACUGACUCUGCUACCCUCCCCUUAUUCUUGCAAAGACGGGUGGGUGACAUGACCAGAAGGAAUAUUGUUUGGGGCAAAGAUAGUCCUUUUUGUUAAUUACCUUUUCGAAUUAAAUGCAGGCAUACUGGAAGAGGAAGGAAGAUAUAGGAAAUAAACGACUUUACAGCAGAUAAUAUUAAUGAAAUAAGAUUGCAAUUUCUAAACCAUAGCCUACUAACUACGUUUCCUUUUGUGGUUAGAUUACUUGCUUGGCUAAUGAGGAAAUACAGCAGACAGCGUAUCUGGGUUUUAGCAAGAUGUUUAACAGGAUCUCUGCACGGUGUGACAGUAGAACUGGGUGGUCCUAGCCAGCCAUAUAAAUUCUGCUGCUCCACGUCAACCUGGAGGGAGGUCUGCGAUGGGCUCAUUUAUGUCCUGUUGGUAUUGACGUGAAUGAAAAUGGUGAAGGCAUGCUUAUCAAAUCUGCGGACAGCAUGAAAACAGGAGGCCUAGGCAUUGUGGGGCGGCAGAAUUAAGACAUCUAGGAAAGCCAUUGACAUUGGGAUGACGAUGACUAAGUCACCUCUAACAGAGGUAUGCUAAAGGGAUAAAUGUAAAGUCCAAUAAACCAGCUGGGAAAGCAGGAUUGGGAGAUGGGGCUUAUCAACAGUAUCCGUGGAAAAGACUCAGGGAUUUUAGUUGACAGUCAAGUGCAUUUAUCAUAAAGCUAAAGAAGUUUAAAUU